GAGCAGAAAUGGGUACAGUGCAUGGAUUGGCAUGCUCUAUGUGGAUCAUUAUCAUACCAACCCUGUGCUUGUCAGCUUUUGCCACAUCCUGAUCACAGGCCACAGGGAGAGGAGGCUGCAGCAGGCCAUCAAAUACUGGUACCUAAAUCAGUCAGCAGGUAAGUCUCCUGUCUGAAUCUACACUGGGGUUGGAUGAGAGGAAAAAGUACCCUAAGCCUUGUCUGGGAUUCCUGAGAUGUCCCAGGUUACCCUUCCCCACCCCCCUUCCUCCACACUCCAUGCCCUGGGAAACCUUCUACCCAGGAGAUCAGGAGGCUUACCCCCCAGUCAGCCUGGCUAUGGGACCCCUGAGGCCUUGUGUCCUUGUCUUUCUGACUGGGUUCCUCCCUUUUUCUGGGAAAUGAGCUCUAGUUCUGCUAGCUGAGUCCUUCAUUCCCCCAUUUGAGACCCCACCCAUAUCCCAGGAUGCAGGCCAGAUGCCCUCCAAGAUAGCACUCAGUUUUGUUCACCACAAGCUCUCCCGGCCACCAACUCCUGCCCCCUCAAGGCUCUAGUGUCUCCUCCCACCCCUGUUAUUCUGCUCUGCCUUCUGCUCGGAAGCCCAUCAGUUAGCCAUGUCUUGUCAGCAGCGAUCUGGACUGUGUUCAUCACUGUUCCCAACGCUGCAGAUACUCAGCUCUGUGGGACAAACUCGCACCCCUCCAGCCGCCCUCAUGUCCCCAGGAGUCCUGGUCCAGCUCCUUCUCCUACUCCUCACAUCUACUGGGCAGCUUUUCCUACAGCCUCUGAGGAGGACAGAGACAAGCUGCCCCCUCAUUCCAAUCCGUCUACUCUGAUUCUAUCCUAGGUCCCCGCAUCUCAGCCAGGUCCAGGACGAGGUGGCUCCUGCUGCAGACCCUCAUCAACAACCCCAGACUGGUCAUGCUCAGAAAAUCGAGAGCAGGUUAUGGUUCCCAGGAGUUUACCCCGAUUCCAGUGACGUGCUUGGAAUGCUGACGCUGACCUGCAACUGUGCCACCAGGCCAUUCCAGGAUCACUGCCGCUGAGAGAAGGCCCAGGCCCCCCAGCAGCUGUCCCCUGCAGUGUGAUGGGAUGCACAGCUACUGUCCAUGCAAAUGGCACACAGCACUGGCCAGGAUGGCACCUGGGCUGAACAAGGAAGUCUCAGGUCUAAUUCACUCCCUUGGCAAAAAGAUCAAGAACUAAAGAGAAUUUCUGUUGAACAGACUUUGCCCAAUAAUGAGCUCCACUAUCCAUGGUUAGGAGGCAGCCUGGGGACUUCCAUGGCGAGAAGCAGUUAGUUUGACCACAGGACAGAACUUUGUGCCACUGAAGAAGGUGGUAAAAUUUCUAUAUGAGGAGAGUUUAACCGUUUGACGCAGUUUUUCUUGGGAAGAAAGGGUGGCCUUAAUCCAACGGGGUCCUCAUUGCUUCCUCCUUUCCAGGUCCUACGGUGGUGGGAAAGAAGGAAAUCCAUGAUCCCAGCCUCCAAUCUGGGAGAGUGAGCCGGCACACAGUGAGCUCUCCCUGCCAGGGCCACUGGGAAGAGGGACAGAUCCAAACUGACCAGGGUCUUGGUCACAAAGAAGAUGCACAGAUUCCCUCUGACAAGGGAGGAUCACCUGGGACAGCUGCCUGUCUGAGGAGGCAGAGAUGGGGUGGAUAGGCAUUCUAUGUGGGGGACAAGAAGAGCAGAGGUGUGGGAGCCGGAAAGGUCCACGCCUGUUUGAGGAGGAUGAGCCCUCUGGUGUUUGCAGUGCAGGGCACUGGGGGCUGCUUAGACCAUUCCUCCUUAGGCCCCGAUGCCAGGCUGGGAGGCCUGGACAUCUCUUGUUGUGCAGAGGGCCCAGUACUGACCCAAAUUCUUCACAGCUAAGCCUCAAGUCUCUGAGGGCCUGGAACCUGUACAAAAUCUGACCAUUUCAAGUCACUCAUGAAGCCUGUGCAAGAGCCAGGAGGCUCCACCAACAGGGUGAGAGAAAUCCCUGUCCACCUCACAAGUCCCAGAGCCACUGCAACUCAGUAAUCGUUACUGAGUAUCUCCUGUAAACCAGUCGUGUUGCUAGGUGUGUCUGCCAUACUUAUCUCUCUUAAUACUCCACAACUAAGCUUUGUCAUUCUGCUUUUAGAAACUGAGAAAA